GACGAACGCUGGCGGCGUGCUUAACACAUGCAAGUCGAACGGUAAGGCCCUUCGGGGUACACGAGUGGCGAACGGGUGAGUAACACGUGGGUGAUCUGCCCUGCACUUCGGGAUAAGCCUGGGAAACUGGGUCUAAUACCGGAUAGGACCACUGCCUGCAUGGGUGGUGGUGGAAAGCUUUUGCGGUGUGGGAUGGGCCCGCGGCCUAUCAGCUUGUUGGUGGGGUGAUGGCCUACCAAGGGGACGACGGGUAGCCGGCCUGAGAGGGUGACCGGCCACACUGGGACUGAGAUACGGCCCAGACUCCUACGGGAGGCAGCAGUGGGGAAUAUUGCACAAUGGGCGCAAGCCUGAGGCAGCGACGCCGCGUGAGGGAUGACGGCCUUCGGGUUGUAAACCUCUUUCAGCACCGACGAAGCGCAAGUGACGGUAGGUGCAGAAGAAGGACCGGCCAACUACGUGCCAGCCGCCGCGGUAACAC
rnacentral:rRNA from 1 species